rnacentral:rRNA from 1 species
AUUGAACGCUGGCCGCAGGCCUAACACAUGCACUUCCAACGAGUGGCGGACGGGUGCGUAAUGUCUGGGAAACUUCCUCAUGGGGGGGGAUAACUACUGAUAACGGUAGCUAAUACCGCAUACCAUCAGAUGUGCCCAUAUGGGAUUAGCUAGUUGGUGGGGUACCGGCUCACCAAGGCGACGAUCCCUAGCUGGUCUGAGAGGAUGACCAGCCACACUGGUAUUUAGACACGGUCCGGACACCGACGGCAGGCAGGAGUGGGGCAUAUGGCGCAAUGGGUGUAGACCUGAGGCAGCCAGGCCGAGUGUAUGAAGAAGGCAUUCGGGUGCUAAAGGACUUUAAGAAGGGAGGAACGACCAGCAGAAGAAGCACCGGUGAACUCCGUGCCAGCCGCCGCGGUAAUAC